GGGGGAGACAACCCAUCCAAUGAAUGUCAUCAGUUAUAAAAGAUUCUGACCUUUAAUCCAGAGGCUCUGAAAGCUUCAGAUGAUGCAACCAAGGAGGCUGCUGCUCUAUGCUGAUCUUCCUGAUCUUCACCCAUCUCCACGGACCCAGCGUGUUUGUCCACAAAAGAUAAUGGCGUUUUUCUCAAAAGGACUCCCUCAAAUACUCAAGUAGCAAGCAGGAAAAGUCCUGGUCUCGAGACCAUACGAUAUCCCAAGAAAAUUAAUUUUGACUCUAGAGAUGAUAAAAUGCCUACAUGAUGAGAUGGAGUGAGGUGCAUGCUACAGGCAUUGUGACGUAUCAGUAGGCUACCAAUGAACUUCUGAUGAUAUACCAAAAGGAGGAUCAUCUACUCCUGGACUAUGGUUGA